rnacentral:rRNA from 1 species
AUUGAACGCUGGCGGCAGGCCUAACACAUGCAAGUCGAGCGGAGCGGAGGACGGGUGGGUAAUGCCUAGGUAUCUGCCUGGUAGUGGGGGAUAACGUCCGGAAACGGGCGCUAAUACCGCAUACUCUCAGGUGAGCCGAGGUGGGAUUAGCUAGUUGUGGGGGUAAAGGCCUACCAAGGCGACGAUCCGUAACUGGUCUGAGAGGAUGAUCAGUCACACUGGAACUGAGACACGGUCCAGACUCCUACGGGAGGCAGCAGUGGGGAAUAUUGGACAAUGGGCGAAAGCCUGAUCCAGCCAUGCCGCGUGUGUGAAGAAGGUCUUCGGAUUGUAAAGCACUUUAAGUUGGGAGGCGUUACCAACAGAAUAAGCACCGGCUAACUUCGUGCCAGCAGCCGCGGUAAUUC